AUUGAACGCUGGCGGCAGGCUUAACACAUGCAAGUCGAGCGGAGAUGAGGUGCUUGCACCUUAUCUUAGCGGCGGACGGGUGAGUAAUGCUUAGGAAUCUGCCUAUUAGUGGGGGACAACAUUCCGAAAGGAAUGCUAUUACCGCAUACGUCCUACGGGAGAAAGCAGGGGAUCUUCGGACCUUGCGCUAAUAGAUGAGCCUAAGUCGGAUUAGCUAGUUGGUGGGGUAAAGGCCUACCAAGGCGACGAUCUGUAGCGGGUCUGAGAGGAUGAGCCGCCACACUGGGACUGAGACACGGCCCAGACUCCGACGGGAGGAAGCAGUGGGGAAUAUUGGACAAUGGGGGGAACCCCGAUCCAGCCAUGCCGCGUGUGUGAAGAAGGCCUUAUGGUUGUAAAGCACUUUAAGCGAGGAGGAGGCUACUGAGACUAAUACUCUUGGAUAGUGGACGUUACUCGCAGAAUAAGCACCGGCUAACUCUGUGCCAGCCGCCGCCGUAACAC
rnacentral:rRNA from 1 species